GACGAACGCUGGCGGCGUGCUUAACACAUGCAAGUCGAACGGAAAGGCCCUGCUUUUGUGGGGUGCUCGAGUGGCGAACGGGUGAGUAACACGUGAGUAACCUGCCCUUGACUUUGGGAUAACUUCAGGAAACUGGGGCUAAUACCGGAUAGGAGCUCCUGCUGCAUGGUGGGGGUUGGAAAGUUUCGGAGGUUGGGGAUGGACUCGCGGCUUAUCAGCUUGUUGGUGGGGUAGUGGCUUACCAAGGCUUUGACGGGUAGCCGGCCUGAGAGGGUGACCGGCCACAUUGGGACUGAGAUACGGCCCAGACUCAUACGGGAGGCAGCAGUGGGGAAUAUUGCACAAUGGGCGGAAGCCUGAUGCAGCAACGCCGCGUGCGGGAUGACGGCCUUCGGGUUGUAAACCGCUUUCGCCUGUGACGAAGCGUGAGUGACGGUAAUGGGUAAAGAAGCACCGGCUAACUACGUG
rnacentral:rRNA from 1 species